rnacentral:tRNA from 1 species
GGCCCGUUGGAGAAACGGUUUAACUCACUUGCCUUUCACGCAAGCAUCCACGGGUUCGAAUCCCGUACGGGUCA